AACGAACGCUGGCGGCAGGCUUAACACAUGCAAGUCGAACGGGUGUAGCAAUACAUCAGUGGCAGACGGGUGAGUAACACGUGGGAACCUUCCUAGGGGUACGGAACAACUCAGGGAAACUUGAGCUAAUACCGUAUACGUCCGUGAGGAGAAAGAUUUAUCGCCCUUAGACGGGCCCGCGUCGGAUUAGCUAGUUGGUGGGGUAACGGCCUACCAAGGCGACGAUCCGUAGCUGAUCUGAGAGGAUGAUCAGCCACACUGGGACUGAGACACGGCCCAGACUCCUACGGGAGGCAGCAGUGGGGAAUCUUGGACAAUGGGCGCAAGCCUGAUCCAGCCAUGCCGCGUGAGUGAAGAAGGCCUUCGGGUUGUAAAGCUCUUUUGCCAGGGACGAUAAUGACGGUACCUGGAGAAUAAGCCCCGGCAAACUUCGUGCCAGCAGCCGCGGUAA
rnacentral:rRNA from 1 species